rnacentral:rRNA from 1 species
AGUGAACGCUGGCGGUAGGCCUAACACAUGCAAGUCGAACGGCAGCACAGUAAGAGCUUGCUCUUACGGGUGGCGAGUGGCGGACGGGUGAGGAAUACAUCGGAAUCUACUUUUUCGUGGGGGAUAACGUAGGGAAACUUACGCUAAUACCGCAUACGACCUACGGGUGAAAGCAGGGGAUCUUCGGACCUUGCGCGAUUGAAUGAGCCGAUGUCGGAUUAGCUAGUUGGCGGGGUAAAGGCGCACCAAGGCGACGAUCCGUAGCUGGUCUGAGAGGAUGAUCAGCCACACUGGAACUGAGACACGGUCCAGACUCCUACGGGAGGCAGCAGUGGGGAAUAUUGACAAUGGGCGCAAGCCUGAUCCAGCCAUACCGCGUGGGUGAAGAAGGCCUUCGGGUUGUAAAGCCCUUUUGUUGGGAAAGAAAAGCAGCAGGUUAAUACCCCGCUGUUCUGACGGUACCCAAAGAAUAAGCACCGGCUAACUUCGUG